CUCGUCUCUGCUGCAGUUCCGCCGCCGCUGAGCGGGUGGAGGAGGUUCCCGGUUCCGGUGCCUUCUGUUUCUCUUGGAUCCACGCCAUCUCCCAACAUCCGCGGACGUCCGCGCCUUCCCGCACUGGCUGCAGUGUUUCCUCCUCUGUCCCGCGCCAUCUCUCACGGCGACCCGGGUGCGUUACUGAGGGGAGCGCUGGGCACGUGGUCUGCUCCGCCCCCUCCACCCACCCUAAGGGGAAACUGAGGCCCGAGAGGGCGGGGAGGGCCACAUGUCGACUUCUCGGCCCUCGUGUCUUCGACAAAGAGGCCUCGGGUCACCGCGCCACCGGCCGGCGCCGUCUCGGAGCCUCACCCGCCCCGUAGGGAGACUUGUGCCCGCUGAUGUUGAGAGACCGGUCGGGUGACGCGUGGGCCCGAGGUCCCGCAGGGGGUCGUGCAGAGCCCGUGUGAACCUGGCCCGAGAGGCGCCAGAACCCCUGAUUCACUGCCCAUCACCUCCGACUCCAGCGUUUCAGGCCCCAAAGCCGCUCGUCGGUUACCGGUCAAAUACUCUGGUGAGCGUUAGCCCAUUUCCCCCUAAUAAGCUUUAAGGGAAAGUGUUGAAACCUCCUUUUAACAAACGGGUGUUUGAGCUUUAAAGUGAGGGCGCCCCAGCCCCUUGGGCAAGUGCUGCUCCUGAGGGCCUUGAACUGGGGGCCGUGGCCUUCCUGCCAUGCGGCAGAGGGGGUGGUCCCUGGGCUCAGGGGGGUUCUGGGAACUGUCUUGCAAAGCCUUGUGCAGGAGAGUGGGGCUGGGUUUGGGGGCCAGAAAGGCCUGAGUUCAGAUGCUGACGCAGCCCCUCGUUAGCCGUGGAACCUCGGUUGGGCAGAUCACGUGAUGGCUUCUUGUCCCCUGCGGGAGUGUCACAUGGCUGCUGUUGCAUGAGACGUGUCGUCAGGGAGCGCCAGGACUGAGUCCCAGGUAAGUGGUGUCCCGCCCGUUCUCUAGUACUUGAGUUGUGUGCAGGCUGUGAGGCCAGAGAUGUUGGGUGCUGAGGUGUGGAGAGCGAGGGUGCAGUGGAGGCUUGGGCCCCCUUCUGCUCCUGAGAGCCUGGAUGGAGGCUGCUGUGAUGUUCAGAGGACAGAGAUUCACAUCCAGUGACCAGCCAAGUGCUCUUCUGUGAGCCUGAGCGAGAAUUCUGUCAGGUGUUACACACAUUCCUUCAGGACCUAAGAGUUCUCAGUAUUUCUGCCGUUAGUCUUCUCUUCAGCUCUUGGCAGGGACUGGUGAAUAAUCGGGUGGUUCUGUCAUCUUAGGCUGGAAGUCUGGUCAGUGACCUGUCUGCUGGUCUGUUCCUAGGCCAGGCCGUUUCCCAGGAUGCUGGCAGUGGCCUCCCUUCUCCGCUGCCUCACUGCCCUUUUCUGCACCUGCAUUCGGAAGUGAUCGUGGGCUGCCCGUGCCCUGGUCAUUGAUAGUGCAGGGAGAGGAGUUGCUGAAAGCGUUUCCCCGUGUUUGGAGGGUUCAGUCCUGUCCCUUGCAAACUCUGGAGCUUUCGUACAUGUCUUUCUUCCCACUGAUUUGUGUUGCUUCCUGGUCCCUGGUGCUGUGUGCUCGCUGAGUGCCCCUGUUCCCGAACAGGGCCCUGCCUUAGCAGUUCACAGGCUGGCAGUGGAGGGCUCCCCUCUGGAUGUUUUCUCUGAUUCCCCAUCGCACCCCUUCCUCAUCCCGCAUCCUCAGCCCCGCCCCUCAGCGCUGAUCGCCUAGAAAGUGUUGAUUUGCUGAUCUGGCCCCUUAUGCUGUAAUCUUGAGGGCAGCGCCUCCUUGUUUUGCGUUGCGUCUGGUGCCUGAUGCACAGCACCGGGACCAAAAAAAAAAACCCCAAAGAGGUGGAGAUGACCCAUCUGUUGUGAGGUGACAGGGCUCCUCCCAUUGCAGAGUGUCAGGGAACCAAGCCCUCCAGCAAGCCAGCCUACCGGGUCAGCUUCCUUUUCUCCACUGGAAUUGUUUCUGUAAUGAAAGGUAGACUUACUAUAAUCUAGGUAGACUUACUGGUCAUGAGCAGGGCCUGUGGUCCGCUGUGGGUGUUUUUCUAGUGACCGACCUGGACAAAGCCCAGUAUAGUUGAGGAUGCAUAUGUAAGUCGCCCUUAUACUACGUAGCAGGCACGGGGCCCUCCCCCCACCUGUUACCCCUCCCGGUCCAUUCUAGUCAUUGCCAGGCAGCCACAACCUGCAGACUGGUUAGCAGCAAAUUGAUCACAGUUGGCACAUAGGGUAACGUAGGUAUUAUUCCUGUCAGAGAUGACCUGCAGACCCCCUCCUAGGGUUAAAUCGUCCUUGUUCCUGAGACCGUAGUGUGGCCGUUCAGGUACUGCAGUAACAGCCUGCCUUCGUGGGUGCUAGAGACUGCCAGCUGCUGUGCCAAGUGUUCUGUGCGUCCCCCAGGGCCUGCUGUGAGUGCCCGUUCACCGAUUUUCCUUUGCAGCUGGGUCUGUGUGCACAGAGGCUCCACAGGAGGCAUCAUCUUCGUGUCAGCCGGGCUCUAGGCCCCGGGGCCCCAGGUCAGCGUUCGAUCUGGAGAUCGUUGAGGAAGUCCCAAGGCCAUGAGUCAGUGACUUUGGGGUGACUUGGGAUCUGGCAUUGCUGGUAUUUCUCCCCAAGAUUCCUUUUGUUCGUGGACACCAGCGGGGCAGAGAGUGGAGAGUGCAGUCCACACAUGAAGAGCUCCCCACCGCCUGCUCAGAGUGUCAUGGGAGAACUGUUUACUCAGCACGAGAAAUCAGGGCAAAGCACUGGGACUGGGGGCUUGGGGCCCCCUUCAGCUGGCUCUGAGUCCCGACAGCAGUGCCCUUGGGCGCCAUGGACAGGGAAGGCCUUUCCCCGUCCCUCUGCCAUGCCUGCGUGACUUCAGCGACCAAGAGUUUUUCUCUUGAGUUGGCUGCUGCUCAUCAUCAUCACUUUUCUCUCCACCCAUCCAUUCAAUACACCGUAUGCACCCGC